CCCAGCUCAGUCCCAGCCGCCCCCCCCCGGGGGGGCGGGGUGGAGGCUUCCUCUUAGUUACUCCUCACCCGGCCAGGGUACCCAGGUAGGGGUGGGUCACCAGAGCCCGAACCCCUCCCCACACGAAGAGAAAAGGGGAAGGAGUCAGACAGCUCGGACUGGGAAGUAAAACUGAAUCUCCCUCUCUACCCUGGGCUCCGAGCUGACCGGCAGCCGCCAGGAUCCGAGAGGAGCUCUGCAGUGACACGGCCUUCAUCACCCGGCUAGCCAACUGAGGCCAAAUACAGUGGGUCCCCCUUCCGGGACAGGGGGCCACAGGAGAAUCUGAGGCUCGCGGACAGGGCUUGUGCACCCUCCCACACACACCCGCUGCAGAGGGGGAGGGCCCAGUGAACAGGCUUAAACGCCAGGCCUGCAGGUGGGCCAGGAACCGUAACCUCGAGAAAUGGAGAAGGGAGACCAUGCCUCACAUCACUGAACAUUUUGUGUGAAGGCCAGCACCCGAAAAAUGCUUAACUACUUGGUGGGAUCAAAUUUCUCAAAGGCAGAGGUCAUCUGUCCGUCCAGGCAGCUGACGAGCCAUGAAGACCAAAUGGAACAUGGGAUCCUGGAUGGCUUCCUGAACCACAGAAGGGACAUUAGUAGGACAGCUGGUGAAACAGGAAUAGUACCGUACCAAUAUUAAUUUCCGGAUUUGGGUAACCGUACUGUGUUUAUGCAACAUCUGGAGAAUUGGGGGAGGGGUGUUUGAGACUUCUUUAGACUGUUUGCAGAAUGUUUGUAAGUUUAAAAAUUCAGAAUAAAAAGUUAAAAAAAAAAAUUAAAGAGUAAUCAUAGAGACUGCAGAACUCGCUAAAUGAGACAACUCCCAAACUGAUCUGGCUGUGUAAUCAGCUACUAAUUACCAUUAAUGAUGGGAACUGCCUAAUUUCCAGGCAGCACAGUGAGGAGGAGCUUUUACCACAAACUUAGUGGCUUAAUACCACCCACGUAUUCUCUCCCGAUU